rnacentral:rRNA from 1 species
AUUGAACGCUGGCGGAAGGCCUAACCCAUGCAAGUCGAGCGGAGCGGCGGACGGGUGAGUAAUGCCUAGGAAUCUGCCUGGUAGUGGGGGAUAACGUCCGGAAACGGGCGCUAAUACCGCAUACUAUCAGAUGAGCCUAGGUCGGAUUAGCUAGGUGGUGGGGUAAAGGCCUACCUAGGCGACGAUCCGUAACUGGUCUGAGUGGAUGAUCAGUCACACGGGAACUGAGACACGUUCCAGACGCCGACGGGAGUAAGCAGUGGGGACUAUUCGACAAUGGGCGAAAGCCUGAUCCAGCCAUGCCGCGGGUGUGAAGAAGGUCUUCGGAGUGUAAAGCACUUUAAGUUGGGAGGCGUUACCAACAUAAUACUCACCGACUAACUUCGUGCCAGCACCCGCGGUAAUUC